rnacentral:rRNA from 1 species
CCUACGGGUGGCAGCAGUGGGGAAUAUUGCACAAUGGGGGAAACCCUGAUGCAGCGACGCCGCGUGAAGGAAGAAGUAUUUCGGUAUGUAAACUUCUUUCAGCAGGGAAGAAAAUGACGGUACCUGACUAAGAAGCCACGGCUAAUUACGUGCCAGCAGCGGCGGUACUACGUAGGGGGCAAGCGUUAUCCGGAUUUACUGGGUGUAAAGGGGGCGUAGGAGGUUUAGCAAGUCAGAAGUGAAAGCCCGGGGCUCAACUCCGGGACUGCUUUUGAAACUGGUGAACUAGAUUGCAGGAGAGGUAGGUGGAAUUCGUAGUGUAGCGGUGAAAUGCGUAGAUAUUAGGAGGAACACCAGUGGCGAAGGCGGCUUACUAGACUGUAAAUGACGCUGAGGCUCGAAAGCGUGGGGAGCAAACAGGAUUAGAUACCCCAGUAGUC